rnacentral:rRNA from 1 species
CCUACGGGAGGCAGCAGUGGGGAAUAUUGCGCAAUGGGCGCAAGCCUGAUCCAGCAACGCCGCGUGAGGGAAGAAGGCUUUCGGGUUGUAAAGCUCUUUUAAGAGGGAAGAGCAAAAGACGGUACCUCUUGAAUAAGCCAGGCAUAACUACGUGCCAGCGGCCGCGGUAAUACGUAGGUGGCAGGCGUUGUCCGGAUUAACUGGGUGUAAAGGGCGUGCAGCCGGGAAGACAAGUCGGAUGUGAAAUCCCGGGGCUCAACCGCGGAACUGCAUUUGAAACUGUUUUGCUUGAGUACAGGAGAGGUCAUCGGAAUUCCUUGUGUAGCGGUGAAAUGCGUAGAUAUAAGGAAGAACACCAGUGGCGAAGGCGGAUGACUGGACGGCAACUGACGGUGAGGCGCGAAAGCGUGGGGAGCAAACAGGAUUAGAUACCCUGGUAGUC